rnacentral:rRNA from 1 species
GAUGAACGCUGACAGAAUGCUUAACACAUGCAAGUCUACUUGAACUUCGGUUUGGGUGGCGGACGGGUGAGUAACGCGUAAAGAACUUACCUCACAGUUAGGGACAACAUUUGGAAACGAAUGCUAAUACCUGAUAUUAUGAUUUUAGGGCAUCCUAAGAUUAUGAAAGCUAUAUGCGCUGUGAGAGAGCUUUGCGUCCCAUUAGCUAGUUGGAGAGGUAACGGCUCACCAAGGCGAUGAUGGGUAGCCGGCCUGAGAGGGUGAACGGCCACAAGGGGACUGAGACACGGCCCUUACUCCUACGGGAGGCAGCAGUGGGGAAUAUUGGACAAUGGACCAAAAGUCUGAUCCAGCAAUUCUGUGUGCACGAUGACGUUUUUCGGAAUGUAAAGUGCUUUCAGUUGGGAAGAAAAAAAUGACGGUACCAACAGAAGAAGUGACGGCUAAAUACGU